AUGGACCAAGUGAUAAACACAACAAAAUGUUUUUGCAAAAAUACACAGCAGAAAAUUGAGUGACAAUAGUGACCACUCGACCUGUUCACACAGGUCACUCGACCUGUUCACACAGGUCACUCGACCUGUUCAGACCCGCAACAAAAUUACUCAAGUGAAACCGGCGAUGAGUCGACUCAAACAGGGGAUGAGUCGACUCAAACAGGUUUUUCCAGAGUUGAGUCGACUAUGACUCGACCUGUUCAGAUCCGUGAUAACAUGGUUCAAAUGAAACAGGCAAUGAGUCGAUGCAACAGGUGGACGAGUCUACUCAUUUUAUUUUCCCAGGAUUGAG
rnacentral:lncRNA from 1 species